GCCUACGGGGGGCAGCAGUAGGGAAUUUUCGGCAAUGGGGGGAACCCUGACCGAGCAACGCCGCGUGAGUGAUGACGGCCUUCGGGUUGUAAAGCUCUGUCUUCAGGGACGAUAAUGACGGUACCUGAGGGGGAAGCCACGGCUAACUACGUGCCAGCAGCCGCGGUAAUACGUAGGUGGCGAGCGUUGUCCGGAUUUACUGGGCGUAAAGGGAGCGUAGGCGGACUUUUAAGUGAGAUGUGAAAUACUCGGGCUCAACUUGAGUGCUGCAUUUCAAACUGGAAGUCUAGAGUGCAGGAGAGGAG
rnacentral:rRNA from 1 species